rnacentral:rRNA from 1 species
UACGGAAGGGGCUAGCGUUGUUCGGAAUUACUGGGCGUAAAGCGCGUGUAGGCGGGCCGUUAAGUCGGGGGUGAAAGCCCAGAGCUCAACUCUGGAACUGCCUUCGAUACUGGCGGCCUGGAGCAUGAUAGAGGCGAGUGGAAUUGCGAGUGUAGAGGUGAAAUUCGUAGAUAUUCGCAGGUACACCAGUGGCGAAGGCGACUCGCUGGAUCAUUGCUGACGCUGAGACGCGAAAGCGUGGGGAGCAAACAGG